ensembl:lncRNA
CUCAUACUGACGGCACCCAUUCACUGCAGAGGAUCCAAUGAUGAGUAAGUGAUGUAAUGCGACAUUUCUCCAAAUGUGUUCUGGUGAACAAACAACCUCAUCUACAUCUUGGAUGGUCUGAGGGGUUGAUCUGAGAUAUCCCACAAUGCAUUCACAGAGAGACAGGAAGAUCAAAGAGAAGAAUGAAAGUUUGGCUUAUUCACUGACUCUCUCGUGUGCUACAUUGAGACAAACAACCAUCAGAGCAGUUCGGGAUUCUGCUUUGGUGAAAUACAAUCCAUUACAACACUGCAGGGAAUGGAUGGUUUGCUGGAAGAUUUACUUUAAGAUGACAACAGACCUAGAGAGUCUCAAGUGAGAAAUUUUCAGCUGCAGCCGUGAGGUUGAAGUCAUUUCCCUGUGGGGGUGUUGGGUCCCUGGAGGAGAGCAGCUCUAAUGAGACCCGAUCUGUGGCUUGUUGCUGAAUUAUCAUAUUGUAAUAUAAAUACGAUUAAAUUUAAUUCCAAAAUGAAAACUCCCUGAU